GAUGAAGAACGCAGCGAAAUGCGAUAAGUAAUGUGAAUUGCAGAAUCCAGUGAAUCAUCGAAUCUCUGAACGCACAUUGCGCCCGCCAGUAUUCUGGCGGGCAUGCCUGUCCGAGCGUCAUUUCAACCAUCAAGCCCCAGGCUUGUGUUGGGGACCUGCGUCCGACGCAGGCCCUGAAAACCAGUGGCGGGCUCGCUGUCCACACCGAGCGUAGUAACUAACCUCGCUACGGGAGCGGCGCGGGCGCCUGCCGUAAAACCCCCAAUUUUCACAAGGUUGACCUCGGAUCAGGUAGGAAUACCCGCUGAACUUAAGCAUAUCAAUAAGCGGAGGA
rnacentral:misc_RNA from 1 species